rnacentral:rRNA from 1 species
UGGGGAAUAUUGCGCAGUGGGGGGAACCCUGACGCAGCCAUGCCGCGUGAAUGAAGAAGGCCUUCGGGUUGUAAAGUUCUUUCGGUAUUGAGGAAGGUUGAUGUGUUAAUAGCACAUCAAAUUGACGUUAAAUACAGAAGAAGCACCGGCUAACUCCGUGCCAGCAGCCGCGGUAAUACGGAGGGUGCGAGCGUUAAUCGGAAUAACUGGGCGUAAAGGGCACGCAGGCGGUUAUUUAAGUGAGGUGUGAAAGCCCCGGGCUUAACCUGGGAAUUGCAUUUCAGACUGGGUAACUAGAGUACUUUAGGGAGGGGUAGAAUUCCACGUGUAGCGGUGAAAUGCGUAGAGAUGUGGAGGAAUACCGAAGGCGAAGGCAGCCCCUUGGGAAUGUACUGACGCUCAUGUGCGAAAGCGUGGGGAGCAAACAGGAUUAGAUACCCUGGUAGUCCACGCUGUAAACGCUGUCGAUUUGGGGGUUGGGGUUUAACUCUGGCGCCCGUAGCUAACGUGAUAAAUCGACCGCCUGGGGAGUACGGCCGCAAGGUUA